UACGUAGGGUGCGAGCGUUGUCCGGAAUUAUUGGGCGUAAAGAGCUUGUAGGCGGUUUGUCGCGUCUGCUGUGAAAAUCCGGGGCUCAACCCCGGACUUGCAGUGGGUACGGGCAGACUAGAGUGUGGUAGGGGAGACUGGAAUUCCUGGUGUAGCGGUGAAAUGCGCAGAUAUCGGAAGGAACAUCAGUGGCGAAAGCGGCUUCCUGGUCCAGCACCGACGUUCAGGCACGAAAGCGUGGGGAGCAAACAGG
rnacentral:rRNA from 1 species